rnacentral:lncRNA from 1 species
GACACCACCAUCACUUUGUCCCAUCUAUGCUAAACAUGCUACUAGGUUCGUUGUCCAAAUUCAAACCUAGUUGAGCAGUUGGAGGAAACCAACAUGCCAGUUUCAUAUUGGUAUUGAGCUUACUCUAGCUACACCCAACGGUCAGUACAAGCUUAAUAAAUUAGUUACAUAAUAGAGCCAAUAGUUUCCAGUGGAACAGGUGUUGAAUUUCAAUUGAUACACAAAAUUUGCCAUGGGAAAUGCAAGUAGGAGCACCAAUGAAUUGUGCAUCUCCAAAUUAUACUUUCCAUUUCUAGGAAAACAAGCACACCCCAUAAGCAAUUUAGAGCCACAGUAAUGUAGUUUCGUCCUGAUAUGAAGGUUCGAUCAUGAAUUUUAUGAUAAACAUCAAUUCAACAUAAAAACACCAUACUUAGACAAUAUGAGAUUGAUAUUCACUUUCCAAACAUAGAUCAACACCACUUACAAGCACUAGAUGUUGAUAUGGUUGCCACUGACCAUCAUCUCUUCCAUAAGUUUGUAUCCUCUUUCCAUGCAGAUAUCGUAUGCGUUUCAAGUUGCUAUUCUGUCAAGUUCAAGCCAUGAGUUUCUAGCUGCCGCUGAAGCAUGAUAAUUUUAUAAAAUAAUUCAACAAAAGUAGCAUCCAAAGAUAAGACCACAUAAAGCUCAACCAUGUACAUUUCUUUACUGUCCAUCACAUACUAUAAUGCUCUUGGUUUACAACACCCAUUAAUACACUUGUCAUUUAUAUCUCUGUUCUGGG